CCUCGGCUCUGCAGCCGGGUGUCCGCUGGGCACGUCCGGACCCUCCUGCCUUUCCGAGGCGGAGGGGUCCGCUCCACGGCAUCUCCGGGGGGGCCCCUCCCGCCGCACCCCAGCCGCAGGAGCCCGCCGGAGCCCGCCUGAGCCCCCGCCCUGGGGUCUGCUAGCGCCCGGCUGAGCUCCUCCCCAUCUCCUCCCGGCCACCCCUCCUGGGGGCCCCAGAAACCAGAAACCGAGCCCCGGCAGGCAGUCACUUACUGAAUACAGUAAUGAGUUUUGUGUCGCUUGCAUUUUUAAGGUUAUCUCUUGUUUACAAGUGACCAAAGGAGUUUCUGCAUCUAUAGCAGUAAUACAGUUUUCUUUUUAAGCACACCCGCCUAACGUUUUUUUUAAGAAUGAAGUCGACUUCCAAGGAAAUGGUACCUGCGCACAGACAAGGGGAGGAGAUGUGAAAGGGGAGCCUCAGCCAAAGAAGAUUCACUGAACACUUAUCAUUACUGAAAACUGGCCUGGCCACUGGCAUAUGGAAACAACAGAGUCCCUUUUCUGUGGGAUCAGAUCUGCAAAUGGAGUGACGAGUCCACCCCUGGCUCAUCCAUCACUCUGCUGAGUGAUGAGCACAUUUUCAGUCAGCGAACAUCUUUAUUCUUUAUAUUUGCCGGUCAUAUCUCAAAAUGCCCUCAAUUAAUGAAAAAACACCAGUAGAAUUAAAUACAAAUUGCUCAAAAUUAUAUAAUUAAUGGCAUCCUACUUCCACAAUGGUUCCCAAGAAGAUCAAGAUUCCCAGCUGGUCCUUUGGUGGCAAUCAGCCCCUCGAGGCUAGCACGUCAAAGAAUUUGUGUCGAUAGGUUUAGCAACACGAAAUGACUUUACUUAGCUCUAUGAUAAAUAUUCUAUGUAAUUGAAUAUAUUCGUGUCAAUAAUUUUACGAUUAUAUCUCAUAGCUGCAUGACAAAUAGGCAUUUACAUAAAAAGAACCUGUACAUGAUUUUAUAAGACACUUUCUUGAAAGCAGGUUUUGAUAAAGGAUUCACACCGGUGACCUCAAAAUAAUGGGCCUUAAGGCACAGGGCAAUAACAAAAUAGAAGGUGGGGAUAAUCACAGUCUGAGUGGAAUGCUAAAACCCCAAAUAGGCACACCGUAGAGAAAAAUCCAUUUAAAACUGUAUAAAAGAAAAGGGGAUAGUCAUAUUAGAAUGAUAUGAGCAGUUUCACUGUGGACAAAAUUAUGACCUUAGGAGCAACAUCUUCUCUGAGUUCUAUCCUUCCCGUGGCCAUCACGGUCUGCUUGUACUCUCAGCCCCGAACUACUGAUCUCAAUGGUAUUUUUCAUUAGCAGUAGCCAGGGCUCCUUCAAAGAAGCUGAGUCCGUGUUUGGGAGCAGGGGCAAACUGGAGCAGCCUGAAACAUCUUGCUACUACCAGGAAAGCAGGUUGCUGCAAAAGUGCUGGGCUGUUGCUGAAAGGCAGUGGACAGCUGAGACCAGGAGCUCCCUCCCGCCUGGUUGUGACAGCUUACACAUCACAAAGAACAGCUAGGUCUCCGGUUGUUGAUCUAUGAGAACAAGUUGAACCUACGAAAGGCAUGAGUCUCUCAUGUUAAAAAAAAAAAAAAAAAAAAAAAGUGGGAGGGGACGUUGUUACGUGUAA